rnacentral:rRNA from 1 species
UACGUGGGGUGCGAGCAUUAAUCGGAAUUACUGGGCGUAAAGCGUGCGCAGGCGGUUUUGUAAGCCAGAUGUGAAAUCCCCGGGCUCAACCUGGGAAUGGCAUUUGGGACUGCAAGGCUCGAGUUUGGCAGAGGAGACUGGAAUUCCUGGUGUAGCAGUGAAAUGCGUAGAUAUCAGGAGGAACACCGAUGGCGAAGGCAGGUCUCUGGGCAUUAACUGACGCUGAGGAGCGAAAGCAUGGGGAGCGAACAGG